GACGAACGCUGGCGGCGUGCUUAACACAUGCAAGUCGAACGCUGAAGCACCAGCUUGCUGGUGUGGAUGAGUGGCGAACGGGUGAGUAAUACGUGAGUAACCUGCCCUUGACUCUGGGAUAAGCCCGGGAAACUGGGUCUAAUACUGGAUGCUACAUGUCACCGCAUGGUGGUGUGUGGAAAGGGUUUACUGGUCUUGGAUGGGCUCACGGCCUAUCAGCUUGUUGGUGAGGUAAUGGCUCACCAAGGCGACGACGGGUAGCCGGCCUGAGAGGGUGACCGGCCACACUGGGACUGAGACACGGCCCAGACUCCUACGGGAGGCAGCAGUGGGGAAUAUUGCACAAUGGGCGAAAGCCUGAUGCAGCGACGCCGCGUGAGGGAGGACGGCCUUCGGGUUGUAAACCUCUUUCAGCAGGGAAGAAGCCACAAGUGACGGUACCUGCAGAAGAAGCGCCGGCUAACUACGUG
rnacentral:rRNA from 1 species